CGCUGAAAUUGCUGCCCCGCACGAGGGUUUCUUCCGCCGCCGCCGUCCCUCCACCCUGUGGUACCCGUCCUCGAUCCGUGAUCACCAAAUCUGGACGAGAUCGGCAGGAUCCGCCGCAUGUCCCGCGACACCUAGCCGCAGCUGCUCGUCGGCCAUGCGGGGAGCAUGGACGAGCUGCUCGUCGACGUCCAUCCCGCAGCCCCGCUGACGACCGUGCCCAGCCUCCUCGACAGCGCGCCUCUCCAACUUGCCGCAUGCCAAAUUUUAGUAGGGGAAGGAUGGAUACCGCAAGGCUUUCAUAUGUGUUUUGAUUUUGCCGAUAGGGAUUUCUAAUAUUCUGACAAGAGUCAAACUAGCAAUCGUGAAGAUGGAGAAUUCAUGCAACUCCAUCUUACUUCAACCCUCAGCCAUCUAAUUGGUGGUAUGGUGUGCUUCUGAUGGUAUUUCACGGCGUUUGUACCAGCAGCAUAGUAAAAAAACUCCCGUCAACACGGCUUAUUUAUCGUUUCUGGAGGGCCUCACAGAUGAGCUAUUCAUCGGCGGCACCCUGCCAGUCAUUUAGAGGAUCUGCGGGAACAAAUAAACAAGCAGAGCGUCAUCAGUCAGGGACCAACAUCCAUGCCAACUGCCCAAGAUGACUGCUAAGGCAAUUAAUAUUCUCUCUCAAUCUUCAGCCACCAUCUGAUGUUAAUUGAUCUUGAUCUUCUCCACUCGCCAAUUCUGAAGACACUUCGGAUCUCACAUUAACUUCAUUCAGUCUUUAAGAAUAAUCAAAGACAUAUGGAUCUCAAAGCUAUGGAUCAUGCGCCCAUACAAAAAAGGACAACUGACUAGAUUGAUGAUACGUUAUGGCAAGAAGGCUAUAUAUUCAUGGGUGCAAACGGGGCCAGUGAGUAGGCGGCGAGUAUACUACGCCGAGAAGCGAUACAGGGGCAUGAAUCUUGAGCCGGUGUGCGCAACGACCUGCGCUACUGCACUAAUAGCCUUGACAGAGCACUAGGGCCGGCUCGACAGGGCAUGCAGCCCGCCGGUGGACGCCUGAAUGUGCGCGACGGAGAUGAACCCCGCGUCGUCGCCUCUGUAGCCUGGACAGAGCUCCGCCAGUGCUCGUGAUGAACCCCAUGUAUGUGCUGGUGAUGGCGCUCUCCGUCUACUUUCUCCACCGGCUAUCAGAGAGUAGAGAUCACAUUGUGGAUUUGUGCUUUCUUCAGAGAUGUGCUCCUGUCGUUGUUGGUUGUCAAAUUUGUGAUGCAAUCCGUCCCUAUGUCGAUGUCUUAACCACUUCGUACUACCGCACAAUUAGCAGAACAGAGCAGAUGCCGCAGUUUACCCAUUGAUUUCUUGGAGUGAUUCAAACCUAGGAAAGCCUGCUACUUGUGCAAGCAACAGGGUAAGAAGUUUCACUUUUCUUACUAAUGCACCUCAAUUUGUAAGGUUAGAACAAUGUCAGAUUACUUUAUGUUGGUUUUCAAAUUUCUACAUAUUCCUUUCUUAUAGACUUUGCCUUCAAGCAAUUCUAAUUAUCUAGGUAGUAUGGAAAGCAGGCAAAUUAUGUAUCUAUUUGGGUGUACUCGUGCUCUGCUAUGUCAAAUUGAGGAGAAAUAAUUAUUUUAUUCACCCAUCCUAUUUUUUAUCUAUAAUGAUGAUCAUUUUUCCAUGUUGUGAUCUUUGCUCCAGUUGUGCUAAUACCAUGUUUAUCAUGUUUACCAUGUUUUAUCUUAAAAAUUGGCUUCUAUUUUGUUUCUAACCUAUAUCUCAGCAUGGUUACUUUCUCCAAACAUGCUUUAGCUGCAGCAUUGGUCAACUGGCUUGAGCACAGCUCACAUGAGUCAUCGCCAAAUGACCCUUUUCUGAAAUUCACUGAGAGAGGAGUUACUCCAUGUCAGUAUGUACAUACAGAUGCAAGCAAUGGAUAAACUCAUGAAGACCAUGUCUAUUAGUCCUUCAGUAUUUUUUGGAAUGAGAUGACACGUUGUAUGCCAGGUAACAAGCAACUGAAGCAAGGGAAAGAAUGAGCCCCUGAACCCAGGAUGCAUGGCGAAGGAUCCAAUAUGUCAGGACCAAUGAGGGAAUUGCAGAGCUUCAUAUACAUUUGCCUUCUUCAAGUGUCUAGAUUACAUUAAACAUGUUUCUUCAAGUGUCUACACACUACAGGAAAUAAGUUUCUUAUGGAAGUAGUCAAACCUGGAUACCAAUUCAUUGGAACCAUUAUAUUCCUUAUAGAAGUAAUGCAAUAUAUUCUCUCUCUUGUGCCUACUUGAAAUACCGUUGU